rnacentral:rRNA from 1 species
AACACAUGCAAGUCGCGCGCCCCGCACCUUUUAUAUCCAAGUUGCCAAUAUGGCUCCGGUAUGAAAGGUGUGGGGAGCGGCGAACGGCUGCGUAACACGUUGGAACCUACCUCGGACUCAGGGAUAACAUACCGAAAGGUGUGCUAAUACCGGAUGGUCCCGCAAGGGUAAAGCUUUUGCGGUCCGAGAGGGGCCUGCGGCCUAUCAGCUUGUUGGUGGGGUAAUAGCCUACCAAGGCAAUGACGGGUAGCUGGUUCGAGAGGACGACCAGCCAGAAUGGGACUGAGACACGGCCCAUACUCCUACGGGAGGCAGCAGUGAGGAAUCUUCCGCAAUGGGCGAAAGCCUGACGGAGCGACACCGCGUGAAGGAUGAAACCAUUUUUUGGCGUAAACUUCUGUUCUGAGGGACGAAAUUUUUGACGGUACCUCAGGAGAAAGCACCGGCUAAUUCCGUGCCAGCAGCCGCGGUAAGACGGAAGGUGCAAGCGUUACUCGGAAUUACUGGGCGUAAAGCGUCCGCAGGCUUCUCUGUCAGUCUGGUGUCAAAGCACGGAGCUCAACUCCGUGUCCGUACCGGAAACUGCAGAGAUUGAGUCACUCAGAGGCAUCUGGAAUGCCAUGUGUAGGGGUAAAAUCCGUUGAUCCAUGGUAGAAUGCCAAAAGCGAAGGCAGGAUGCUGGGAGUGUACUGACGCUCAUGGACGAAAGCGUGGGUAGCGAACGGGAUUAGAUACCCCGGUAGUCCACGCCCUAAACGAUGCGUGUUCGGUGUGGGAACAUCAAUCAGUUUCCGUGCCUUAGCUAACGCGGUAAACACGCCGCCUGGGGAGUACGGUCGCAAGAUUAAAACUCAAAGGAAUAGACGGGGACCCACACAAGCGGUGGAGCAUGGGGUUUAAUUCGAUGAUAAGCGUAGCACCUCACCCAGGUCUGACAUCCCGAAAAUCCACUCGAAAGAGAGGAGUGCCGUAAGGAAUUCGGUGACAGGUGGUGCACGGUCGUCGUCAGCUCGUGCCUUGAGGUGUACUGUUAAGUCAGCAAACGAGCGCAACCCUCAUCCUAUGUUGUUAUUUCAUAGGAGACUGCCGCCUCCAAGGCGGAGGAAGGUGAGGAUGACGUCAGAUCUGCGUGUCCCUUAUACCUGGGGCAACACCCGUGCUACAAUGGUCGGUCCAAAGGGCAGCGAACCCGCGAGGGGGAGCUAAUCCCAAAAAGCCGGUCUCAGUUCGGAUUGAAGUCUGCAACUCGACUUCAUGAAGUUGGAAUCGCUAGUAACCGUGAAUCAGCUACGUCACGGUGAAUAUGUUCCUGGGUCUUGUACUCACCGCCCGUCAAGUCAUGAAAGGCAGGGGCGCCUGAAGCACCCUUACCCCGCCCAUUUACCUUAUGUUAUUCGAUACAAUCGAAACU